UUUGAAUUGAUUUCUUUCGAAAUGAAGUUGAAAUGAUUUUAGUGGCGAACGGAUGAGUAACACGUGAGAAACCUGCCUUUCACAGAGGGAUAGCCGUUGGAAACGACGAUUAAUACCUCAUGACAUCAAACUAUCGCAUGGUAGAUUGAUUAAAGAUUUUAUCGGUGAAAGAUGGUCUCGCGGCUGAUUAGCUAGUUGGUAAGGUAGAGGCUUACCAAGGCGACGAUCAGUAGCCGGCCUGAGAGGGUGAACGGCCACACUGGAACUGAGACACGGUCCAGACUCCUACGGGAGGCAGCAGUGGGGAAUUUUGCACAAUGGGGGAAACCCUGAUGCAGCGACGUCGCGUGAACGAUGAAGGCUUUCGGGUUGUAAAGUUCUGUCCUUGGUGAAGAUAAUGACAGUAGCCAAGAAGCAAGCCCCGGCUAAAUACGUGCCAGCAGCCGCGGUAAUACGUAUGGGGCGAGCGUUGUCCGGAAUUAUUGGGCGUAAAGGGUACGUAGGCGGUUAUGUGGGUCCGUAUUAAAAGGCAUUGGCUCAACCAAUGUUCGGUAUGGAAACUGCAUAACUUGAGUAGAUGAGGGGUAAGUGGAAUUCCUAGUGUAGCGGUGAAAUGCUUAGAUAUUAGGAGGAAUACCAGUGGCGAAGGCGACUUACUGGAAUCUAACUGACGCUGAGGUACGAAAGCGUGGGGAGCAAACAGGAUUAGAUACCCUGGUAGUCCACGCUGUAAACGAUGAGUGCUAGGUGUCGGGAGUCAAAUCUCGGCGCCGCCGCUAACGCA
rnacentral:rRNA from 1 species